GCAAGACAAAGUAUUCUUUUCCCAAGUUGACUUUCCAACCAAAGUGGUUGCUAACCAAUCUGGUUAGAUGAUGAAAUAGCAACCUGAGGGCCAAAGUGUUAUUUUCGGGAAAAUAGAAAAGAAGGUCAUAGCCGAAAACUCAACCGGAUUUUUAAAAACUCACCGCCUCCACUCGCGCAGCUUGGACCCUUCCUCUCGCAUCGCCUCAGGCGGUGG